CGGGGGUUGCCAUAAAUGUCUCGGAGUUGUUGAUGAUUCUAACCGCGGUGUGGCGCUGCGGCACGAGGCAAGAUACUAGUGGGAGCUUUUUGGCAGCUAGCGGCCAGUGUAAGGUCCAACCCCCGAACCGAACGGUCAUCCGAAUCUAGCGAACGAACGUAAAGGUAGCAGUAAAAGCAGGUGUAGAGCGACAAGAUGGACGCGCGAUUCAGGAGCAACCUCGCCAUGAUUGGGCGCAAUGAGCCCAUCACCAGGAAAGCCAAAUUCUGGCAGAGCUACGUGCGCGCCCUCAAGGGUACCGACGACAUGAGAGCCCCCGAACAUACCCACAGACCACGAGGCAUCUUCCGUUCUGACUUCCCGGAGCUCCACUCCUCAUCGUGGCCCUACGGAAAAUCCAUCUUCGAGAAUCCUCUUCACGCCGCCGACCGCAUCAAUGUACCCGGAUACAGAUAUCUUCCGGUACAUCGCGAGAUCUACGGCUACUCUCCGAGACAACUGUAUCCCCAUCAGUACAAACCUGUCGAGCGCUUCCACGCGGAACCCUACGACUCUACGAAAGCGUGGAACGACCAUUUAGACCGAUUGGCCGAUAUCGACAGGCUUUACCCAAGCCCCGAACCGCUGCUCUCGCGCCACAGGAGCCCCGCACUCACCAAACCACUGUUCGACCUUCACGGCAAUCUACUCGACGAUCUAUCGCCAACGAGAUGGCCCUCAUUCCUCUCUAAAAAAACCCUGAACGACAUGCUCGAGCCCACACCGAGUGCACCGGUCAGCGCAUUCACCAGAGACCCCUGGUGGUAUCCGUGCAUGGCCCCUUACAUACCGAGCUAUGCUCAGUGGAGCACCCCUUUCUAUCUAAGGGACAGCUAUCUCAGCCCGGUUAAGCGUAAUUACCUCUGGAGCCGACACCCUCUCAGGCCUUUCGAAUCGGAGUACGAUCGUUUUGCGAGAACGUUUUUGUAGAGCAAAACCUAUGCGAACUAAAGCAAGGGCUCUUGAUAACAUGGAAAAAAUUACGUUUACUAUUCGCAGCCCGUUCCACGAUUUCACUUUACCAAGCCGUGGUACAAUUAUUGAAAACGAAACCCACGUACGUUAGAGACACUGGAAUCUCGGUCGAGCGCGAGAAUUCACCAAGAGGACGGAAUCAUCGAAAUCGAAACUGAAGAAAAAUAUAAUAAAGAAAGAAUAUUUACACGCGUCUUUAAAUACAUGAAAUAAAAAAGUAACUAAAUGAACCCUCGACAAAUUUGAAAACACUUGAGCCCGUUGUUACAAACGGCCUUGCACACUAAAAUAUUCAACAAUUUCAAGAAUACACAUCAACCCAUUUUUUUCAACUAUUCAAUCAUUUGCGUGUAUAAGGUAUUAUUACAAAAAAGAAUGAAACAAUAAAACAAAAAAGUACCACAUA